rnacentral:rRNA from 1 species
GACAAGCGGUGGAUGAUGUGGAUUAAUUCGAUGCAACGCGAAGAACCUUACCUACCCUUUGACAUGUCCGGAACUUGCCAGAGAUGGCUUGGUGCCCCGAAAGGGAAUCGGAACACAGGUGCUGCAUGGCUGUCGUCAGCUCGUGUCGUGAGAUGUUGGGUUAAGUCCCGCAACGAGCGCAACCCUUAUCAUUAGUUGCUACGCAAGGGCACUCUAAUGAGACUGCCGGUGACAAACCGGAGGAAGGUGGGGAUGACGUCAAGUCAGCAUGGCCUUUAUGUCCAGGGCCACACACGUGCUACAAUGGACGGUACAGAGGGACGCAAGACCGCAAGGUGGAGCAAAUCCCCAAAACCGUUCUCAGUUCGGAUUGCAGGCUGCAAUUCGCCUGCAUGAAGCUGGAAUUGCUAGUAAUCGCAGAUCAGCUACGCUGCGGUGAAUACGUUCUCGGGCCUU